UGAUCCCUCUGACAAGAUGUAACUCUCAUAAAGAAACAAUUCAGGGUCAACUGAAGGUCAGGAACUCUGGAGAAUAUACUCUUGUCUUCGACAACUCCUUCUCAAGGUUCCUCUCGAAGAAAGUCCAGUACAAACUGAGUAUAGAGAAGCCAGAGGUCUGCAAUGGAAGUGGUUGUUCUUCAUAGGAAAUCGAAUCACGCACACUUGUGUCUGUACCAGGUCACGGGACGGCUUGUCCAGGAAUAUUAUCAAGCCCAACUUCUAAUGCUGCUUUCAAUGAUUUACAUGGGCUGCAUCCAGUAAUGCUCAGAUGCCGGUUGCCCGUGGUUACGGCUGCGCUGCAGAGGGCGAGCACCGUUGAGCUCA